UACGGGGGGGGCAAGCGUUGUUCGGAAUUACUGGGCGUAAAGGGCUCGUAGGCGGCCAACUAAGUCGGAUGUGAAAUCCCCAGGCUCAACCUGGGAACUGCAUCCGAUACUGGAUGGCUUGAAUUCGGGAGAGGGAUGCAGAAUUCCAGGUGUAGCGGUGAAAUGCGUAGAUAUCUGGAGGAAUACCGGUGGCGAAGGCGGCAUCCUGGACCGACAUUGACGCUGAGGAGCGAAAGCUAGGGGAGCAAAGCGGG
rnacentral:rRNA from 1 species